rnacentral:rRNA from 1 species
AAUCCUCCGCAAUGGGCUAUAGCCUGACGGAGUAACGCCGCGUGAGUGAUGAAGGUCUUAGGAUCGUAAAACUCUGUUGUUAGGGAAGAACAAAUUUGUUAGUAACUGAACAAGUCUUGACGGUACCUAACCAGAAAGCCACGGCUAACUACGUGCCAGCAGCCGCGGUAAUACGUAGGUGGCAAGCGUUAUCCGGCAUUAUUGGGCGUAAAGCGCGCGUAGGCGGUUUCUUAAGUCUGAUGUGAAAGCCCACGGCUCAACCGUGGAGGGUCAUUGGAAACUGGGGAACUUGAGUGCGGGAGAGGAGAGUGGAAUUCCAUGUGUAGCGGUAAAAUGCGCAGAGAUAUGGAGGAACACCAGUGGCGAAGGCGGCUCUCUGGUCUGUAACUGACGCUGAUGUGCGAAAGCGUGGGGAGCAAACAG